AGUAAAGUUGUUAGGUUUGGCUGAUAUUAGUAGUCAGGUUGGAGUUUCAGCAAAAACGCUAUUUAUUCUAGAACACGAUUUUUACAAAAAUUCUGUUUUGAAUAAAAUAUUCUAAAAAUAUAAUAAGGCAACUUAACGUGAUCUUGUACAAAUAAUUGCCAUCGCCUUGCUACACUAAUAGCUGAUUAUACGGUUUCGGAUGCUGAAAUGACUAUCAAACUUCAGCAGCUUACUAUCUUUUUUAUAGGGAAAGUGUCUUGGAGCUUUUUAUCAAAACUCCUGUAUAUAUAUAAAGAUAUUUUGAUUUGUUUGAAUAGUUUUUAAAGUAGCCAUUUUUAUUUUUUGCAAGAAAUAUUGUUAUGAGAAAAACAAAAGAACACAAUAAAAUUUACUAAAGUUUUUUUAACAAGAUGUAAAGCAAGACUUUUAAAAGCAAUUAAAGUUAAGAGUAGCACUGCAAGCAGUUUAAAUGAAUUAGGUCGACAAGAUAUUAUUAAGUUUGGAUCAAAAUACAGAUCUAGCCCAGACACUGUUGAAAACAAAAUCAUUAACGAAAUAGCAUAAAAGAUGCGAACCUUUUCCGAAGUUCUAACGACAUUAAAACUUAUUUUUUUAAAGUUAAUUUAAAACAGUUCCGAAUAAAAUUUAUACUUUGAA
rnacentral:lncRNA from 1 species